rnacentral:rRNA from 1 species
UUCGGGGGGGGCAAGCGUUGUUCGGAAUUACUGGGCGUAAAGGGCUCGUAGGCGGCCAACUAAGUCAGACGUGAAAUCCCCAGGCUCAACCUGGGAACUGCGUCUGAUACUGGAUGGCUUGAAUUCGGGAGAGGGAUGCAGAAUUCCAGGUGUAGCGGUGAAAUGCGUAGAUAUCUGGAGGAAUACCGGUGGCGAAGGCGGCAUCCUGGACCGACAUUGACGCUGAGGUGCGAAAGCGUGGGGAGCAAACAGG